ACCUAGCUGGCUCAACCAGUGGAGCACGUGACUCCUGAUCUCGGGGUUGUGAGUUCAAGCCCCAUGAUGGGUG
rnacentral:tRNA from 1 species